rnacentral:rRNA from 1 species
CAGUUGAGCGCUGAAGGUUGGUACUUGUACCGACUGGAUGAGCAGCGCACUGGUGAGUAACGCGUGGGGAAUCUGCCUUUGAGCGGGGGACUUUAUUUGGAAACGAAUGCUAAUACCGCAUAAAAACUUUAAACACAAGUUUUAAGUUUGAAAGAUGCAAUUGCAUCACUCAAAGAUGAUCCCGCGUUGUAUUAGCUAGUUGGUGAGGUAAAAGCUCACCAAGGCGAUGAUACAUAGCCGACCUGAGAGGGUGAUCGGCCACAUUGGGACUGAGACACGGCCCAAACUCCUACGGGAGGCAGCAGUAGGGAAUCUUCGGCAAUGGACGAAAGUCUGACCGAGCAACGCCGCGUGAGUGAAGAAGGUUUUCGGAUCGUAAAACUCUGUUGGUAGAGAAGAACGUUGGUGAGAGUGGAAAGCUCAUCAAGUGACGGUAACUACCCAGAAAGGGACGGCUAACUACGUGCCAGCAGCCGCGGUAAUACGUAGGUCCCGAGCGUUGUCCGGAUUUAUUGGGCGUAAAGCGAGCGCAGGUGGUUUAUUAAGUCUGGUGUAAAAGGCAGUGGCUCAACCAUUGUAUGCAUUGGAAACUGGUAGACUUGAGUGCAGGAGAGGAGAGUGGAAUUCCAUGUGUAGCGGUGAAAUGCGUAAAUAUAUGGAGGAACACCGGUGGCGAAAGCGGCUCUCUGGCCUGUAACUGACACUGAGGCUCGAAAGCGUGGGGAGCAAACAGGAUUAGAUACCCUG